rnacentral:lncRNA from 1 species
GGUCUCCCUCUCGGGGAAAGGGGAACUGAAUAAUGAUUUGAAAACUUGCUCAGCAGCAUCAAGCCCGCUUGACUGGGUUAGAAAGAAAAAACCAAAACAAAACAAGCGUGUUUGCACCUCCGCCUCGGGGCCGCAGGAACCUGGACUCAGGGACUAUUUAGACAACACUGAGUUGGAGAAUGGAUUGUGGCUAGCUGGACACUGGGCCCUCCGCUGGCACUGUGGUCACUGCUGGCCCCAGUGCCACCAAUGCCACAGGACACUGGAUGCCAUAGCCACCAACUCCACCAGAAGGAGUUCCGAUUAUGUUGUUCAGUCUGGAUUUAGAAGUCUCAGCUAGGAAUAGUGGCAGAAGUAAUUGAGAAGCAAGAAGUAUGAGGAUGGACGGGGAGGGAGCAAACCACUUACCCGGUCAUGGACGAUUUGCCAGGAGCUGGGCCUUUAAUCAUCAGUUUUCUAUUAAUUCCUGGAACCAGACCCUCCCUGGCACAAUGGAUGAAGGGGAGAUGGGAGACUAGAAAACAGAAAUUGCUCAAAAAGGAAUUGAGCCCUUUGGAUGGGAAACAGGAACUCCGGUGGAAUGCAGGAGGAAGGAUUGAGCAAGAGAGAAGCAGCUGCCAACCUAUCCGAAUGAAAACAAACACCUUGAACACGACAGUGGACUUGAAAUGUUACUAAACUUUUUGGCAGGUUUCUCCCCACUAACAAGCCCGACGCAGGAAUACAAGAAAAGAAU